AUGCUUUCUAUACUGGAAUCUGAACAUGAUGAGGGAUUGAAGGACAAAGAUGAUGCAUUUAUGAGUGUAGAUGCAGAGGUAGAUGCAGAAGCAGAUGCAGAAGCAGCGGCUGCAGAAGCAGGAGACGAAUCAUUCUUACGUAGCAUCAUUGAAGAUGAAGAUGCCGAAGCAAAAGUUGGUGAAGGUGCCAAUCCAGAAGCUGCUCAAGAUGACAAGCCUAAAGGACGGAAGCAAAUGGCGUCAAGAUCACAAAUCUGGGAGCAUUUUACCAAAGUUUUUGAUGACAAGGGGUUAGUAAAGGAAGGAAAAUGCAAGUAUUGUGACCGACCAAUUCAAGCUACUACAUCAAUCAAUGGAACAACAGCAAUGCACAGGCACUUUGGUACAUGCAAGUGCAGUCCGAAUAAGAAAAUGGAUCCAAAUCAGACCACUUUGCAAGCAACUCCAGGAGAUGGCAUUAAUACUUGGAGAUAUGAUGCAGAAAAAGUUAGGAAGGCAUUUGCUAUGAUGGUCACAGAGGAUGAACUGCCUUUUGCAUUUGGUGAGAAAUCUGGAUUCAGAAAGUUCAUUUCAGUCGAUUGCCCCCGCUUUAGUCCACCAUCAAGAAGAACUUGUACUAGGGACACUGUCAAAAUCUAUCUAGAUGAGAAAUGCAAGUUGAAAAAGUUUUUCAAAGAGAAUUGUGGAAGUGUGUGUGUAACCACUGAUUGUUGGACUUCUCAGCAGCAAGAUGGCUAUAUGGUAGUGACUGCACACUUCAUUGAUGAAGAGUGGAAGUAUCAUAAGAAGAUUAUUAAUUUCAUUAUGGUGAAGGGCCACAAAGGGAAGGAUCUUGGGAAGAACUUGCAGAGAUGUUUGAUGGAAUGGGGGCUAGAGAGAGUUAUGACAGUCACCGUGGAUAAUGCAAGCAAUAAUGAUGGCUGCAUUGUUCACUUGAGAAAGUGCAUGGUUGAGGCCAAAACUAGCAUAGCUGCUGGAAAGUUUUUGCAUAUGAGAUGUGCGGCACAUAUUGUCAACCUUAUUGUACAAGAUGGCCUAAAAGAAGUUGAACUUUCAAUCAAACGUGUCCGAGCUGCUGUGCGAUACAUCAAGAAUGGGACUUCUCGGUUGGUAAAAUUCAAAGAGCUAGCAUUGGAAGAAAAAGUUAAGAGCAAAGCAUUCUUGAACCUAGAUGUAUGCACUCGGUGGAACUCAACUUACAUAAUGUUGAAGGCUGCCAUCACCUACGUGAAGGUGUUUACAAGGUACUAUGAGGAUGACCCAUUGUAUGCGUUGGACUUGUCUGAAGAAAAAGGAGGAUUUGGGUAUCCAGAUGAAAUGGAUUGGGAAAAUGCUAGGAAAAUGGCUGCCUUUCUUGCUCAUUUUUAUGAUCUUACUGUUCGUGUGUCAUCCUCACUUCAUGUCACUUCCAACAACUUUCUUUUCGAGGUUGGCAAUAUACACAUAUUGGUUCAAAAUUGGAUGAGCAGUACAGAUCCUUUGCAAAAAGCUAUGGCAGAGAGGAUGAAAGAAAAGUUUGACAAAUACUGGGGGUCUUGGCAUGAGAAUGAAAAGGUGAAGGAUAAGGGUCCUAUUGUAAAUGAAAGAGGGAAAGGGAAGAAGAAGGAGAAGGAGGAGAAGGAGAAGGAAAAUCUCAACUUGCUCAUUUUUAUUGCUGCAGCUCUUGAUCCAAGGUAUAAGCUUUCUGAUUUCACUAGGCUCACUACUUUGGAAAUAUUUGGUGUUGAGUCUGGAGAGAAGGUGUGGUAUGCUGUCAACAAAUGUGUUCGCGAGUUGUUUGAAGAAUACCGAGUAAGAUUGACUACACCAGAACCAACAACACCAGCCAUUAGCCAAGUAACAAUAGAAGGAGGAGGAGCAAGUAUGAUGAAGGAACUAAUUGCAAGUAGGUUGAGGCAAAAUAAUAGUGGAGGAAGUGCAAGUAGUAAAUCUGAGCUUGAAAAAUACCUUGCUGAAGACUCUGAAGACCCUGACAAAAAAAUUGACAUCCUAGGAUGGUGGAAAGAGAAUUCAUCUAGGUUUCCAAUCUUGGCAAAUAUGGCUCGUGAUAUUCUUGCUAUCCCCAUUACAACUGUGGCUUCUGAGUCUGCCUUUAGCACAAGUGGACGCAUACUUGAUGACUUUAGGACAUCUCUAACUCCGUUUAUGGUGCAAGCUUUAGUUUGUACGCAAGACUGGCUGAGAAGGUCAAUAGAUCCGGUCGACAACAAGGAGAACUUGGAAGAAUUAGAAGUGCUAGAAAAAGAGUUGAUUGAAGAAUUUGGUGACAAGGUGAAGGGAAAGCGCAAGUUCAAUGGUGGUGUUGUUGCUUCUUCCAUGGCCAAGUCAAACAAGUGUGCAAGUCGACCAACGAAGUGA
rnacentral:rRNA from 1 species